rnacentral:lncRNA from 1 species
AUGGGGGCAAAAGCGCAAUCCAAUGCCCAGAUCUGGCGCGGAGAAACGAGGCAAAGGCACAAUGGUGCAUUGGCGAGGAGUCUUGGUGCGGUGGAUAGGGUCACCAAAGUGGAGCAGUGGCGUGUUGGGGCAGCUGAGAUAGAGCGCGACGGAAGGCAUGGAGAUCAUCAAGGAGUAACAGUGGCCGGAGGUGGCCGCAAGAAGUGGGAGGUGGCACCUGUUGGGUCGCACGGGGAGACAACCGUCGGGCUGAACGAUGAGGAGGUGAUGGGUGAUGUGACUUCAACUCAAGAUGGCAGCUCGAUCAGUCGUCACAACAGGCACGAUUGGUGGAUCAGAUGGUGACGGGGUGGUU